AAUGAUAAAGCGCAACAGCGCAUCAUAAUGCAAUUUCUGAAGGCACUUUAAUCAAAAUGCUACUCAAGACUUUAGUUGCUGUGUGUUUGGUGGGGCUGUUUUCCCGGGUCGAAGCAUUGUCAGUAGCGUGUGCAAUCGACGACGGAACUCAUUAUAUAGCGGUCGGAGAAAAAUGGGCCUCGCCAACCGACCCUUGUUUUAAGUGCGUAUGCGAGGAAGGAGGACUUCUAGCCUGCUUUUCGGACUCUUGCGCAAGGCCUCAGUGUCCGGCCGGGAUGGAAGUGGAAAGAUCCAAAACCGAAUGUUGUGACUACACAUGCUUAAGGAAAUAAGGCAGCCAAAAGUUCAACCCACAAGUGCAUAUAGGAGGGCAUAUGUUCGUCUGUCCAUGCCUUUGUCGGAAGAAUAACGAAUAAAUGGUCAUUCAGC